rnacentral:rRNA from 1 species
UAAGGUGGUGAUAGCGUGAGGGUUCCACCUCUUCCCAUUCCGAACAGAGAAGUUAAACCUCACCACGCCGAUGAUACUGCGAAAGUGGGAAAGUAGGUAACCGCCCCUU